rnacentral:lncRNA from 1 species
UCUGUUUAAACAUACAGAAAAUGAAAAAAAUCUGAAAAUAUGUCAUGCAAAGGGGACACAAAUACCACUAGUCAUGGAUUAGCAAUAUGAAAUAAGCUUUAUUGGUAUAAAGUAAGUACUUGAAGUAAUAAAACAUUUAUCUCUGCCCUUUGAGUUGCCUGACCCAUUCUUCUGCCUCUAACAACUGCUAGGAGUGUUCUUCCAGCACCAUGUGGCCCUAAACAAUCUAGAUCUGAUUAAAUUUCAAGGUCAACCAUAUUU